rnacentral:rRNA from 1 species
CUAGGUAAUGCUCUUUCCGUAGGUGAACCUGCGGAAGGAUCAUUACCUAGAGUUGUAGGCUUUGCCUGCUAUCUCUUACCCAUGUCUUUUGAGUACCUUACGUUUCCUCGGCGGGUCCGCCCGCCGAUUGGACAAUUUAAACCAUUUGCAGUUGCAAUCAGCGUCUGAAAAAACUUAAUAGUUACAACUUUCAACAACGGAUCUCUUGGUUCUGGCAUCGAUGAAGAACGCAGCGAAAUGCGAUAAGUAGUGUGAAUUGCAGAAUUCAGUGAAUCAUCGAAUCUUUGAACGCACAUUGCGCCCCUUGGUAUUCCAUGGGGCAUGCCUGUUCGAGCGUCAUUUGUACCUUCAAGCUCUGCUUGGUGUUGGGUGUUUGUCUCGCCUCUGCGUGUAGACUCGCCUCAAAACAAUUGGCAGCCGGCGUAUUGAUUUCGGAGCGCAGUACAUCUCGCGCUUUGCACUCAUAACGACGACGUCCAAAAGUACAUUUUUACACUCU